UACGGAGGGUGCAAGCGUUAUCCGGAUUUACUGGGUUUAAAGGGUGCGUAGGUGGGUCUGUAAGUCAGUGGUGAAAUCUCCGAGCUUAACUCGGAAACUGCCAUUGAUACUAUAGGUCUUGAAUUAUCUGGAGGUAAGCGGAAUAUGUCAUGUAGCGGUGAAAUGCUUAGAUAUGACAUAGAACACCAAUUGCGGAAGGCAGCUUACUUCACGAUCAUUGACACUGAGGCACGAAAGCGUGGGGAGCAAACAGG
rnacentral:rRNA from 1 species